GGUUUGUGGCUCAAUGGUAGAGCACUCGUCUAGCACGUGCAAGGCGCUGGGUUUGAUCCUCAGCACCA
rnacentral:tRNA from 1 species